rnacentral:tRNA from 1 species
UCCAGGGUAGCCUAGUGGACAUAUCAUCUGCCCGGUAAGCGGAACAUUGUGGGUUCGAUUCCCAUCCCUGGAC